AGUUAGCAUGUUGUCUAAUGUUAGAAUUGCAUCCAUUAUAUUUGAGCUAAUUUUAAAUUAAAAGCUUCAACUUACAUCCUGAAUAGAGUAAUUUAAUGCUGUCAAACAUGUUCGUGUUAGCCAACAUGCUAUAGUUAGUAUUUUAGCUAGCUUUAGCUUUUCAGCUCAUUUUACCUUAUAACUGCUGUUUUUUCCACUUAUGAAACAUGGGCGUUAGCAACCCACAACAUUUAGCAUCUUAAAAACAGAGCGCUCUUCCUGAUCUUUUGCUCAUUACGCUCCUCAGCAGAGGGUUUAGCUUUGUAUGCAGAGUUCUGCUCUAGUUUUUAAUACUUGUCUUCUUCUCAGACUUUAGGACAUUUCUGUAAUUUACAGCACAAACAUUCAGCUUACAGAACUCAACGCAUUCUUACAGGAAACGUCCAUUUUCUAGCUGUGUUUAUAGUCUGAGCUCUGAAAAACUGCAGUGAAAUUCCUUGCUGAGCCUCAGUCCAAGUCAACAAAUCUGGUUCUGAUUUUACGCCGGUUGACCCGAGUCAGAUGUUCCACACGCAGCUGGUUUGGAUCAGAACCGGUGAGGCAGCAAACAAAAUGUCCCAACAGAAGCUGGAAGAACCUCAUUUCUGAAGUUUCUACAUGGAGAGAAAAGCUUCAACCACCAACGACCUUCAUCCCCUGACCCUCGACCCCUGACCUUCUGACCCCUGGGGAUCUGCUGAGGAAGAAUGCGUCGGCAUGGCGACGCCUGCCAGCUUCCUCGUCAUGGAAACGCAUCCAGAAGCCAGUUCGUGUCUCCUGAGGCCAAGGCGGACUCGGUGGGGACACGAGGUCUGCCGCCCCCUCCAUCCGGUCGCUCUGAUGACGUUUCCACCCGCAGGUGAGGUCCCGCCCCCAUCCAGGUACCAAGCAGCCGCCGUUUCCAUAGCAACGGGGACGCCUGAAGGGAGCCAACCGACCCACAACAAAACUAGAGCAGCAACUUCCACCGCAAGGAACACGGCGGUUCUGUUUGCACACAGUGAGCCGGUCCAGCGGCGCUGAUAUCAUCAGGAGACCCGACGGAUUUAUAUGGAUUCAUUAUCGUUUUAAACUGCGAACACAGAUUUGGUCCCAACAGAUCAUUGACUUGUUCUCAUAGAAAGCGUUAUAUAAAAAAAUAAAACAUUUAACGAGACGUUUGUGACUAUUUAAUCCCUAAAGCAAACAUUAAACACCUGGUACAGAAAGUUGUAUAAUAAAUCAUUGUUGUCUGAUAACACAGACAGGUUAAUAAAAUAAACAAGUUAAUGUAAA